rnacentral:rRNA from 1 species
AACCGACACAGGUAGGCGUGAAGAGAAUUCUAAGGCGCGCGGUAGAACUCUCGGUAAGGAACUCGGCAAAAUGACACCGUAACUUCGGCAGAAGGGGUGACUCGGUAGGGUGAAUAGCACGAGGGGGCCGCAGUGAAAAGGCCCAAGCGACUGAUUAGCAAAAACACAGGUCUGUGCGAAGACGCAAGGCGAAGUAUAAGCGCUGACGCCUGCUCGGUGCUGGAAGGUUAAGGGGAGUGGUAAGCCAUCGGGCGAAGCUAUGAACCUAAGCCCCAGUAAACGGCGGCCGUAACUAUAACCGUCCUAAG